AAAUUGAAGAGUUUGAUCAUGGCUCAGAUUGAACGCUGGCGGCAGGCCUAACACAUGCAAGUCGAACGGUAACAGGAAGCAGCUUGCUGCUUUGCUGACGAGUGGCGGACGGGUGAGUAAUGUCUGGGAAACUGCCUGAUGGAGGGGGAUAACUACUGGAAACGGUGGCUAAUACCGCAUAACGUCGCAAGACCAAAGAGGGGGACCUUCGGGCCUCUUACCAUCAGAUGUGCCCAGAUGGGAUUAGCUUGUUGGUGAGGUAACGGCUCACCAAGGCGACGAUCCCUAGCUGGUCUGAGAGGAUGACCAGCCACACUGGAACUGAGACACGGUCCAGACUCCUACGGGAGGCAGCAGUGGGGAAUAUUGCACAAUGGGCGCAAGCCUGAUGCAGCCAUGCCGCGUGUAUGAAGAAGGCCUUCGGGUUGUAAAGUACUUUCAGCGGGGAGGAAGGUGUUG
rnacentral:rRNA from 1 species